rnacentral:lncRNA from 1 species
ACAUGGUGGAUUACUAUGAAGUUCUGGGCUUGCAGAGACAUGCCUCAACUGAGGAUAUUAGAAAGGCAUAUCGAAAACUGGCACUGAAGUAACACCCAGAUAAAAAUCCUGAGAAUAAAGAAGCAGAGAGAAAAUUCAAACAAGUAGCCAAGGCCUAUGAAGUGCUGUCAGAUGCUAAAAAGCGGACAUCUGUGAAAAAUAUGGCAAAGAAAGAUUAGUUGGCGGAGAGGAGGUGGAAGUCAUUUUGACAGUUCCGUGAGUUUGGCUUCACAUUCUGUAACCCAGGUGAUGUCUUCAGGGAAGUUUUUGGUGGAAGUUUUUGACUUCUUUGGAUUUACUUCAUUCAGGUCAUGGGGGUCUCACUUCAUUCUCUUCCACCUCAUUUGGUGGUACUGGGAUGGGUAACUUUAAAUCUCUAUCAACUUCUACUAAAAUGGUUGGCAGGAAAAUUACUACAAAGAGGAUUGUCGAGGAUUGUCAAGAAGGAAUAGAUGUUGAAAAAGACAGCUAGUUAAAGUCCUAAACGAUAAAA